GUGUACCCAUCAAGCAUAUGUACAGCCUCUAAGUGGAGGAAAAGUUUCUUCUUCAAGUAAAAUGAAUAUGUGUCCCCCAGUGGUGUCCACCCAUGGUUGAGGCUCUACUCUUUGGAGCCACACAGGUAUAAACCUGGACAUCAGAACAGAAAAAUUACCAGAACAAAGGCAAGGCCAUAAAUCAGGGGUGAACAAGUAGAAGAAAUAAGUGGAUGAGUAAGAGAAUGAAUGAACAAUGAGUCUGGGCUGGGCUAUGAUCCCAACACUUUGGGAGGCCGAGGAGGGAGGAUUGCUUGAGGCCAGGAGUUUGAGACUAGCCUGGGCAACACAGCAAAAGUGGCUCUACAUAAAUCUUAAAAGAUAAAAGAAAAGAAAAAAGGGGGAAAAAUUAGUCUGAACACUGCAAAAUUGCCCCUAGGCCAGGUACAUGGUGAUGUUGGCUGUAUCCUGGCGUAGUGACAAUUUCUGUUGCUGUAGACAUCCCAGGAAAUUUUCUCCUCCUCUGCUCUUCAGGAAGUUUGACCACUCCACCACACGUGGGGACAUUUCCAAUGUCAAAAAUUAUAACCAACCAUAAAACCUUUUUUAAUCCAAGCAACAACCAUCUCUGUUGUCUAAACAUGCCAAGAGGGAAAACGAUUUUGCCCAGGGACCAUGGCUGUAAAACCCAGGGCCACACCCAGCUCUACCCAGUUCUGUUGCCUGCCCCAGCUCCCAUGAAGUCCUUCAGCCUCCCCUGAACUAAGGCUUUGCAAGAGUGACUCAGAUUCCCAUCACUUGCCUCAAACCAUCAGUGCUGAAAGAUUGAAGUCCUCACCCUUGAACCCAACUGUGCCAAACUGCAAGAAAUUAUUUACCUACCCACUGCUGGGGAAAUCCAAAAACAGCACGUUUCCUCACCUGCCAUGUGCCACGUGCCGAUGCUUUCUUUUUGCCCCAAACAAAUGGGUGGAAGUCCAAACAUAAGGAACAGCCAUCUUCUGAAUUAAGUAACUCAAGCUCCAAAGGGGUGUCCACCGCUGCAGCUCCAUCUGACCCCUACACUGCCUCUGGUCACACCUUACACUCUGCAAGGCCUCCUACCUGUCUCUGAGUGUCCCCAGGAUGCACAAGGCUUAACAAUCCUGGACUCUGGCAGGCACCUGUUCCCCAACUCUGCCUCGUUUCUUAAAGAUUUAUUUCAUAUCUUCUUUACUUUUGCGGGUGUUUGAACAUGUCCAUUUAAAAGUGUGGUUUUUUAAAAUUUCAGUCUAAGCACCUCCUCUUCCAGGAAGGCUUCCUGGACUUUCCUGGCCAAUUCAGGUAUUCCCUCCUCUGGGUUUCCUGAACAAGGAGUUUGUCUCUAUCAAGGUAGCACAAAGCAGUGGUUAGGGCAAUGGAUUUGGGGGUCAGACACAUCUGGGUUCAAACCUUGGCUCCACUAUUUACUUGCUAUUUGAACUUGGGCAGGCCCCUAAGCCUCAAAUUCUACUUUUAUACAAUCAGGUUGAUAAUAACACCUACCUUCGAAGAGCUUUGUGACAAUUCAAUGAGAGAAGACAUUUAGAGCACUUGUAUGAUACCUGGCUUAAGGGAUAGGCUGAACAACAGAGUAUAUGCAUUCCUAAAUAAUUAUUUAAACACAGAUGACUCUGUAAUGACAGUAAAUACCUACCUGUCUCCCCAUUGUACCACGGGCUCAAUUUUAUCCCCAACUCCUGCCAGAGGCUGGGAACAUACAAGGGAACUGAAUUUCUACAGAAUCUUCCUCCUCCAACAAGCCAUCCCGUCAGCAAACAUCCUUUUUGGAAAGUCCAGGCAGCAUGAAACCUACUGACCCUGCAGAAUUAGAAUCUAAUUAGUAAAUAUGUAUUAAGUAACUGUAUUAAGUAACUACAACGUACUAGGUGCUGUGAGGGUACAAAGAUGAAAAUACAAAGUCUUGUUCCUCAAAGAGCUCGUGUUUUGUUUCAGGAGAGGCAAUAUAAGCCUUUGGAAACUUCCAUCAACAACUAAGAUUUAAAUAGCAAAGAUGGCGAAGUGCAAAUCUAACAAUAAGAAAAAUAGAAUUAAUUACCAGGCA
rnacentral:lncRNA from 10 species